rnacentral:rRNA from 1 species
UACGGAGGGUGCGAGCGUUGUCCGGAAUCAUUGGGCGUAAAGGGCGCGUAGGUGGCGGGACAAGCGUGCGGUGAAAGCUCGGGGCUCAACCCCGAGUCGGCCGUGCGAACUGUUUUGCUUGAGCACUGUAGAGGCAGGCGGAAUUCCGGGUGUAGCGGUGGAAUGCGUAGAGAUCCGGAAGAACACCGGUGGCGAAGGCGGGUCUCUGGGCCGUAACUGACGCUGAGGAGCGAAAGCAUGGGGAGCGAACGGGG